rnacentral:rRNA from 1 species
AGCAGUCGCCACGGUAAUACGUAGGUGGCAAGCGUUGUCCGGAAUUAUUGGGCGUAAAGGGCUCGCAGGCGGUUUCUUAAGUCUGAUGUGAAAGCCCCCGGCUCAACCGGGGAGGGUCAUUGGAAACUGGGAAACUUGAGUGCAGAAGAGGAGAGUGGGAUUCCACGUGUAGCGGUGAAAUGCGUAGAGAUGUGGAGGAACACCAGUGGCGAAGGCGACUCUCUGGUCUGUAACUGACGCUGAGGAGCGAAAGCGUGGGGAGCGAACAGGAUUAGAUACCCCCGUAGUCCCUGUCUCUUAUAC